UGCCUGGAUGGUGGUGGUACUUGUUCCUCUUUGCGAGCUGGGAGUUGGCUGCUCCGAGCUAAGAAGUUAGGGUCAUUCCUCUGCUCUAGAAAAACAGCCCACUGCCCUUUACUAAUAUUGUAUUUGGAUGUCAGAUCCAUCCCUGUCUUUGCAUACUUGACAUUCAUCUCCGACCUCCAAUUUCGGAAACUAACCGCACAUUGCUUCAUUGUAUAUGCCUUCACUAAAUCUUCUGGCACAUUCCUAGGAAACUAGAACCUGGUCUUAAUAUUAUCUCAAAUUUUGAUCUUGUGAUUAUUCGACACACCGGCCCAGUUCUUAACUGUGAUAUCAAGAAAGUCCCUCACACAGAAACCAAUUGCGUUUCUGUAUUUGGGUAGGGCCUCCUCUGGAGCUAGGGGCUGUCCAGUAGGGCUCACAUUUGUGAUGGCAUAUGUGUCAUCUGGAAAUUGGUUCAACCCUCUCUCGCCUCGUUUCAAACCUUGUCGCUUCCUUUUCCUAGACUGACAUGGCCUCUCAGGGCUCGUCGUUGCGGUCGUCGGUUCCGGUGCGUCUUCGUGUGCCACUUCCUCCUGAGACAUCAUCUCUCUAAACUGAGACAUUGCCUCCUGAGUAUAGACAUGUGAAUCAUGGGCGUGUUUAUAUGUAGAAACUAUGAAUAGAAAUCAUUUAAUUAUAUGAAAUCGUGAAUGUCUCUAAUUUACCUUAUCGGCUUCUGGAUUGUAAUCGGGGUCACGUGCCAAUUCACGACGAGUCUUCCUCACUUCUAGAGGCUCCAUGUCGUCGCUAGCUUCUUGUUCAUAGGACGAACCCGAUGCUUCGCCCGUUUCUACUUAUCUCACGAGCUUGUUCCAUAGGGUCAGAUGACCCUUCUACUUGCUCCGUGGGUUGGGACUGCAGUGCUUCGUCCUUGUGCGGAGAACUCAUCGCAGAAAUCUAUGUAAUUUAUGCAUAAAAUUAAAUUUAUGUAUCCUGGGGUAUAUACACUAAUAUAUCAUACACUAACAUAUAAACUAAUAUAUAUACUAACAUAUAUUAUAAAGCAUAUACUAACAUAUAUUAUAAAGCAUACACUAACAUAUAUAAUAAAGCAUAAAAUUAAAUUUACAUAUUCAAUUUACAUACACUAAUUAAUAAUAUAAUUAAUAAUAAUAUAAUUAAUUAUGUUAGCAUUAUGUAAUUAAUAAUAAUUAUUAUUUAUAUACAAAGAGAUAAAAAAGACAUAAUAAUUAAUUUAAUAUUAAUAAUAAUAUUUAUUGAUUUCCAUAUAUACAUACAUGAUACAUCAUACAUAAAAAGAUAGGCACAAAUUAAUUAAGCACAUGCAUAUAAUAUUUACAUACAAAGGAUUAAAGACAUAAUAAUUAAUUAAAUUAUGUUAGCAUUAUAUAUAAAGGCACAAAUUCUCACUUCUCCCUCACUGGGAAUAUAUAUUAUUAAUAAUAUAAUUAAUAAUAAUAUAAUUAAUAAUAACUCUUAUUUAUAUACAAAGAGAAAAAAGACAUAAUAAUUAAUUAAAUAUUAAUAAUAAUAUUUAUUGAUUUCUAUAUAUACAUACAUCAUACAUAUAUGAAUAAUUGAAAUUAAAAAAAAGAAAAAAAAACUCAAUUCUCGCUCACUUCUCCCUCACUGGGCCGGCUUUGAGCCAGCCCAACACGUACCCUCUAACAAGUGGGGCCCCUGUGUCGGGGUCGUCCCGUACCUUGGGCCGCCGCUAGGCUGGCCGCCUCUCUCCUCCACGACCAGCCACCACCACCGCAAAACCCUAGCCGCUGCGCCGCCAUUCGCACCGCCGCCAUUCGCACCCCCGCACCGCCGCCAUUCGCACCCGCCGCAGCAGCGCCCGCCAAACCCUAGCCACUGCGUCGCACACAAAGCCGCCGCCGCCGCACAUAAAUCCGCCACCGCCGAUGGAGGGACGUCUUACCACGUGGGGCGUUGAAGGGCUCGGCGUAGACGAACGAAGACGACGCGUCGGACGGCGGCGCCUCUCCGAUGGCCUCGGUGCGGCGGAGACGAAGACGAAAUCCGGCAGCCUGACGGCGUGUUUUGAAAAACUGGCC
rnacentral:lncRNA from 1 species